CUUGGUCCGACCCAUGCUCCUCCCCGUCCCCACGUUCUCCGGCGGGGGAGACCUAAUGCGCAUGCGCUGCAAUGCCGCAUACGCGCAUUAGACCUCUCCACAGGAAAGCAUUGAAAAUUUGGGGAUAUUAGCGACGCUGGAAACCUGUGCUAUGAAUCAGGUGCCCUCUAGUGGCGGUCUAGUAGACAGCCACUUAUUAGACAGCCACUAGAGGAGGAGUUAACCCUGCAAGGUAAUUAUUGCAGUUUAUAAAAACUGCAUAAUUACACUUGCAGGGUUAAGGGUAGUGGGAGUUGGCA